rnacentral:lncRNA from 1 species
GGUGAUGGGCCUCCAUGCUGCCAUGGUCCAGCACUGUUUGUGUUUUGUUGCUUUUUGUUUCUAUACCAAAAGCUGCUACACUGGUGACAGAGCAGGGUGUGGCCUAGGUGCCCCCACAGAUGGGCAUGUGGCACCCACUUCCCACAGCCUAUGGUUUAGACAAAUUGGGACUGACCAAGAGACGUGUUCCUGGGGUUGUUGCUUCUCUCUCUGCCCUCCCCAUCACUCACCCCUGAAGUCACAGUGCUUGGCAAGUGGAUGUUUUUCAACAACCACAGAUGUUUCCUUUGAAGUAAAACACAAGCCCAUUUCACUGACUUCGUUGGGAAAAAUAGUUCUCUACUUGUGUUUUAAAAGAGAAAAGCUCCUUGAGUGGUCCUGGCUGCUCCUCUGCUCUCUCCACUGCUCCAAACCGCUCUCUAGCAGGCCUCAGCUCUGCUGCUGAGGAAGCAUUCUAGAACCUACCCUCCAUUGGAUUGGGGCAUAAGAGCCUGGGCAGGGCUGUCCCACAGAUGAGGCAGAGGUACCACCUGGGCAUGAGGCAGGGCAGAGGGUCCUCAGGGAGGAGUGGCCAACU